rnacentral:lncRNA from 1 species
UAUAUAGGAUGUUUGAAAAAAACAAAAUGUCAAUUGUGUCUUUAAUUGUAAUAUUUUUAUUUUUUAGGAAUUCAGUUGUUAUUUCAUUUUGGUUAAAUUAAAUUGCUCUUUCAUUUUGAUUCAAUUUUUUUUUACUUAUUAUCAAUUAUUAAAUUAAAUUGCUGUAUUUAUUGGUCAAACAUUACAUUUAAGAUUAAAGUCAUGCAAAUAUUGAAAGUUGUGAACUUAUGACGAUAGAGAGGCGAAUUAAUGACUCAAUAAAUUAGUCGUUUGUCUGGUCAAAUGAAUAGAAAUCGUAAGGAAAUACUCUUCUGAGUAAGAGUACAAUUAAAAUAAAGUCUUGGUGUUAUUAAUUCAAAGUGUCUUUUCAAUUUAUGAACUGUAUUUUAAGUGUAUCCAUUUAAAUUCUUAGUAGAUUUUAGAUUGUAAUAAGCAUGUGAAUUGUGAUGAUUUGACAUAUACAUAACAAGUUUGAAAAGACUUCAAUGAAAUUGUUUCCGUCAUAAAUGUAGAAUUCAAGCUUACAAGUUUGACAUAUACAUAAAAUAUUUACAAUUUGCAAUUUUAAAUUUAGUUAAUUGUUGUUCUAUGAUUGAAUGAUGGUAUUCACAAAUUUUAGAUAUUAACAUGACAUGAAUUUUCUUUGGAACCAAACAACCUUAUUAUCUUGACAAUUAUGAGACAAUAUUUUGCAUAUGCUCUUGAAAUCCCCAAAAUUUAUCAAACAUAACAAUUAAACCAAUAUAUAUGUAUGUGAACAUCAAAAUGAUAUUUAAUUUAAUUUUUUUAUACAAAUGUAUUUCUAAUGACAUUUUGAGAUUGUUAGAUAUAUUGUUAUCACACAAAUGAAUUUAAAUUAGGAGAAGUUAAGAUUGUGAGAGGAUCAUAGUCUAUAUUUGUUAGUUUAAUUUUUAAUCUAAAAAUAAAAAAUAAUAGUACAAGUAAUUAUUUUUACCUUUUUAAAUAACAAUAAUCAUGUAUUUGUUCUAAUACUUUACUUUAUGGUAUGUAAAAUAUAUAUUUGUGUGUUUGUGUGUGUGAUUAGUUUUUUUUCCUCCCUAAUAGAUAAAUAAAAAAAGGGUUGAAUACAUUAAAUAGUAGUAAAUAUGUGGGUCUAGUUCCCUAGGGUCAUUAAUAGACUUAGCUGCAUCCAACAAGGUGACCAAACCUUUAUUUUGAGCAAGAAUUAUAGCAGCUGAUUGGUAAUAUUAAUACCUUAUUGAUCUACUUUUAUGUAACAAAUAAUUAAAGAACCCAUCUGCCUAUUUUAAAUGAUUUGGUCAAUACUCAAUUGCUUAGGCCGUAGAAGAUUUAUAGAAAAUAAUAAUAAUAAUAAGUAAAUUUUGAGAUCCACCCACCCACUUGCCUCAUUCAUAAUUUCAUAUUUUCAUAUCAUGUUGUGACCUAAAUUUCAGAGAUGGCAAGAAACGAUUUUUUUUUAAUUUAAAUUUAUUACAAUUUAUUUUUGGAUAUUUUCAUGUAACAAUAAAAAAGAAGAAAACUAAUAACCACAAAAUAUGCUCCCGGUAGCUUAUGUUAAGUUGAGUUUUUACUCACAUAGAAUCAAUAGUUAUUGAGUAAGAGAAAUAAAAAAUAAAAAUACAAAAUAAAUCUUAACAAUUGAUUCUUUUCUUCAUAAAAAAUAAAUGCAGCGCUAUUUUGAUAUGUAAUACAAUAUAAUAUCACUUUCUAUACAUAUCACUUUCUAUACAUAUGUUACUUAUAUGAACUCUAUAUGUGGGGUUUAAAGGAUUUAAAUGAUUGAUUAGCGGAUUACAUUAGGCUAUAAAAUUUUACACAUAGAAUUUAAGUUCACACCAAAAAUUUGUUAUUAACAUUGAUGUAUAGAAAUGAGAAAUGAAAGUCUCCAUUAUCCACACCUCAUCUCUAAGAAGAGGCAAUAGGGUGCAUGGCAUGUGGUGCCAGCAUUAUAAGAAAGGUUAAUGUUCACAAAAUGCCAAUAUUUUAUUCCCUUUGGAUUAACAUGAAGUCUAGAUCAAUUAAUUAUUAAAUCUUAUAUGACAAUUCAUAGGCCAAAAGUUUAUAAAUUGACAAUAAUUUGUUUCUCUUUCUAGAUGAGGAAAACAUGUUGCAUAAAAAAGAAAGACUUUGCAAACUUUUCUUAGUCCAUGAAACAAAUUUUAAGAUUUUAUAUUGUGAAAAUCUCUAUAGCAAUCUCCUCCCUUUUUACAUGAAAGCUAAACUUUCUCAAUUAAAGUUUUUAUCUUGAAUUAAUACAUACAUCAUUAUUAUAUUAUUUAAAUAGUUAAAUAAGAAGAAUAUAAUGAAGUUCACAUCAAGGUGCUUUAAAAAAAUUACCACAAAAACAGUUUUUGUAUGAUAGUUCAAAGGUUAUUAAGCUUUUAAUAAAUGUGAAUCAAUUUUUUUAUCCUAUUUUAUACGAGGAUUUGAUCUCAAACUUAUUAAACAAAUCUAAAAAAAUUUUAUGAAUUGAAUCAACUCAUUAUUUCCUAUGGUUAUGGAUCAAAGUGUCGUUGAUAAACAUUAAACAUUAAGAAAUUAACAAAAAAUUGCCACAUAUAUUAGAGGGAGAAAAAAGAAAAUUGUUUGUAGUUGGUUAAGGACCCGAUUUAAUUAAAUACAAGUACCUAUAUUCGAGGGAUCCAAUGCCCAACGCACAUAGGGCAGAGACAAGCAAGGGUCCUUAAAAUCAGUAUUAAAUAAUUCCUCUGACCCUAUUUGUUUGGCAUUGCUUGCUGCUUUGUAAUUUUCUGCUUACAAAUUAAUUAGAUUUGUUCAGAUUCUCUGUAGUCUGUACACUUGUUCAUAAUAAGCCAUCAUAUUAAUGACCAAUCAAACAGGACAGAACUGCUUUAAUUAAGAGGCAGCAAGCAAGUACUUAGCAGGCAAAAGCAACUUAUUCCCAAAGUGCUUUUCUUUGACAGCCAGGAAUGUUAACUUAUGUCCUUGCUCAUAGAGUGCUUGCUAGUCCCUAAUCCAAGGACAAUAGGACAUUUUGGAUCAUAAACAGGUCAUCUGUAUAGACAGACAAACUCCCUAAAAAUGUAAUUGAAGGCUUUGACUACCUCAUCUUAGGGGUAUUUGUAUUCAACCAUUUAAGCAUAGUCAAAUGAACGAAACUUUAUUAAAUUUUAUUAAUUUUCUGAUUAUCUAAUGAUGUUCAGGUAAUAAAAUAGUUAAUACAAAAAGUCGACAAAGACAAAUAUAAGAAUAUAAUCCUUUUUUACCAAAAGUCAUGUGACAUGGUAUGAUCUUAUUACCAAAAUUUUCUAUAUCAACUAAGUGAUGGUGUAAUUAAAAUAUCUUGAGCAUAAUAGAUUGGCCGAUCUACUUCUAAGUACUUGGGGGAAAAAAAAAAAAGAAAUCCCGGGCUCAAUGAAGCCACUUGCCAAAGCAACUCGUGAUUAAAGCAAAUGAGUGAAAAAGUAGAAAUUAAGACCCUAAAAUCAAAGAAGACACAGUAAGAUUCAGUACAAAGGUCCCUGCGAAAAAGCAUUGAAACUAAAAUAUUUGAAUGCUAAUAAAAAAGUGACACAAUUUACAUCAAAUUAAUCACUUUUUGGAUUAGAGCCUGUGAAAACAGAUUAGAAAGCAGAAAGUGUGAAUAAAGUGCUGCUUGUAAGUAGAUUGAUUGUUAAUUUGUUGGAAAAGAAUCUGUAAAUUCCAACGAUUUUCCAGUGUAAUUUCCUAAAUAGAAAAGGCGAGUGAAAAUAAUAGGAGAACUUUUUAAUCCAAGUUAGACAUUUGGAUAAACCAAUGGGAUUUUGUUGAUGUGUCUGAGGAAAAUUCGUACGCCGAUAUUUUUAAAAGAUAUCUCUACCAAAUGUGCACACAAUGGUUUCAAGAUUUUUGAGAAUUCUCUUCGACUCUUUUACAUUAUCAUCCUCCACUCAAUCAUAACAUAUUGAUUAUUGAUACAAUGAAGAAUCUCCUACAAGUAUUGAUCUAUUGAAUGUUAUUUUCAGUAUCUGAAAACUAUAUAUAGAAGCUUCAUAUCUACACAAAAUAAAUAAAUAGAUAACAUGCAUUAAUAGACACAAAAAAAAUUCAAUAAUCACUAGCUGAUCUAUCAUAGAUUUAAGAUUUGGAUGGAUGAUGAAAUGACUUAAGAAGGUAACCACCGAAAGGUUCAAUUAUUUGGGGUGCCCCAAAUAAAUUAUCUUCAUUGAUUCUCAAAUAUUCUUUUGUGGCCAAACAAGCAAUUUAUCUUUCUAGGGUUUUAAGGUUUUAUUAGCUACAUAUAUAACUUAUUGGAUUAAUUAGUUGCUUGUGACAUAUGCAAACAAUGCUUAAGUGAUUGUAUAAUUAAUCACUCAUUGAGAGUUUCAUGUAAUGCCAUUUUUAAUGGUCAAAGAAACUGCUCAACACAAAAACUCAAAAUUUUAAGUUAUCGUGUUUAAAAUAAAUAAUAUAGGGGCACAAAAAUGAGAUAGAAUUAAAAAAUUAAUUAACUUACCUAACGUGAUCAAGCACGAGAUUUAACUUAACUUACAAACUCAUACUAUCAAGAACGAGUCUAUAAUACUCACAGAGGGCAAGACCGAUGAUUUUUCAAAUAAUUUUAUUUAGUUAACCACCUCAAUUCAUAUUCUAAUAAAUAUAAUGUCCGAGAUCUUUUUCUUUCAUUAUUUACUCAAUCCAAUUAAGCAGCCCAUGAUAAAAGUAGUUGAAAGAAGAAAUUAAUUGUAUGCAUUUGAAUCCUAUGUCCUAUGAUUCCGGUGAUUAUGAACAUAAUUCAUCGUUAAUUACGACAAUUUGCAAUGUAAUGAUUAUCAUUAAUUUUUUGUUAAGAAGAAUAAUAAUAAUAAUAAUACAAUGUGAAUGGUUAUUGAAAGACAAGUCAAUGCUCUAAUUAAGGGAAGUGGACCCAUAAUAUACAUGCUUGUGAGUUUUUGUAGCCUUUAUAUUUAUACAGAAAGUUGAAUUGAUUCUUUUAACUUUGAACUUUUUCUAUGCAUUAAUUCAACUUUAGUUUCUGUUCCCGAUUCAAAGAAAUUGUUGAACCUUUGUUUCAAAAUUGAUUGCGAUGGACAUGUUACCAUAGAAAAAUAUACUCUACAAUUGAUAAAUAUAAUCAUCAUUUAUAAUCCUUACAUGGAUAAAAUCUUUCGCAUUAUACUAAGUUUAGAAAUUGAACCUCGCUCAUACUAAUUAGUAAGUAAUUUGAUUUAUGUUUAUAUAAUAUUUAAAUAAAUAAUUCAAUGUCCGAAUAUAGAGAGAAAAAUUUUCAUGUGUAGAUUUUGUAUGAAUUUUUAUUUAGAUUUAGGGUUUCAUAAUGGUAUAAAAACUAAAAAGUACUGAUUACAUCAUUAUAAAUCAUUUAACAACGUUGUCAAAAUCUUCCACACUGUUAUACAACUCCAAAUUCACAUGAAAAUUUAUAUAUAUAUAUAUAUAUAUUACUGUAGAAAAAUAUAUUUAUUGAGAGAUAUCUACUUAUCUAUAUUUAUGAAAAGAAAAUAUUGCAUUCACCACAAUUCACCACUAAGCUACAAAUACAUUAUAUGUAAACCGAUCCGCUAAGCAUGACAUAAUUUUCUCUUAUCACAAAAACAAAUCAUAAUUGUCACACUUUUUCUCAUCGAAGGAGAGAAAAUUAAAUAGGUUGCUUUGUCUUUGUAAUGUUUGAAAAUAUGAAAAUGAAAUUCUAACAAAAAUGUGAUAAAAGAUAUCAAUCAUUUGGUAGAAGAAGCUUAUUUUAUAACACAAAAUAAUCAAUUUAACUAAAAGAAUAUAACCACAUUCUUCUUGUUAAUUUCUCCAAUUUUUCUAAUGUAUUUAAUGGGACAAUGCGAUGAAGGGUGUCAAUCAUUUGGUAGAAGAAACUUAUUGUAUGCCACAAAAUAAGUCAAUUUAACUCAAAGAAUAUAAUCACAUUCUUCUUGUUAAUUUAUCCAAUUUUCCUAAUGCAUUUAAUGGGACAAUGUGAUAAAAGGUGUCAAUCAUUAGGUAGAAGAAACCUAUGGUAUAACACAAAAUAAGCCAAUUUAAUUAAAAAGAAUAUAACCACAUUCUUCUUGUCAAUUUUUCCAAAUUUCAUAAUGUAUUUAAUUGGACAAUGUGCAAAUUGAGUUCCAUUUAAAGAUUGAAAUGAAGGGUUGAUACGAUCAUGAUGUUAGUGGGGCGCUAAGCCAAUAAGGGUUGGUUAGUAGCUCUCACUCAAGUCUUAAUCAAAAUUCAAAUCAAAAUAAGUGUGAAUUUGUUGAUGAUAUUAAAUUUAAUUUCAUCUACAACUUUUAUUAAUCACAUCAACUGAUGGAAAAAUUGUUAGAAAUUUUACGUUUAAAGUUUGAUUUUUUUUUUCAAAAGCUUAAAAGAUUCAUAAUUUAUGAAUUCAUAUCACAUGUGAUUGCACAUCUAACGGUUCAAAUAGUUGAAAAAAAAAAAAAAAAAGAAAACUAAAAUUUGAGAGAGUCUCCAUUAUUGUAGUAUUUCAAAUAAUAAUAAUAAUAAUAAUAAUAGGAUUAUGCUAAUGUGGCCCUAACCACAAACAUUUUGUGGGUAAAAAUCAAAAGGCGAUAUCUAGAAACAAAAUAUGCAUGCAAUUUAUAGAGUAGGUAUGGCUACAAUUCAAAUGUCUUAUCAAAAUGAUUGAUUAUAUAAUUAUUAAAUUCCAAUUUGCAUCAAAAUAUCUUAUCAAAAUGAUUAAUUUUGUAAUUGAAUAUUUUUUUUUUCUUUUUAACACUGUUAAUACAGGGAAAAGAAAGUGCUUAAGAGCUUUGUUGAUUGUAGUUGGUGUAGAUCGUGGGUCAUCAAAAUCUUGUUUAAGGAUUUUGGCUUUUACAAGAUUGACGGUGGAUUUGACCAAUAAAGUUCGUGUAAGCUGAAAUUAAGGUUCAUUCCCUUUUCAUUAAUUUUGUGAAUCAAUUGUAGUCCGUAUAGAAAUCAACGAAAUGUCAAAAAUAUAAUAAUGGUUCAAUCUUAAUUACACCGAUGACUAUUACGUAACUUAAAAUUUGAUUAUUUUUUAUAUAUAUUAUUGAUACAUUGUCCAAAAAUUUUGUAAUUUUUGAAGUUCGAAUAUUUUGAAAUAUCAACCUAAGGAUUUAAUCAAACCCAUAGAUCAAUGUUGUCAAUUUUCCUUGUUUUUAAGCAAAGAUUAAGUAUAGUAUUUUGUGGAUAAAAUAGUAAUUGGAUUGAUUGAUUUUUCUUCCCCUUAAGUUUAAAGUAGAGAGUUCAAAUCUUGUUGGUGCUGUCCAACAACAACUUAGAGGUAAUUCAUUCAUUCAUUGCCAACAUUAAGCUACCAAAAUGGAAUCAUUUAGUACACAAAUUUGUAAUCCGUAUCCGUAUAUUUACCUGAGUUCCAUUGUUGAACACUAAGCAACUUCAAUUUAUUUGACUGUUUUUUGAAGCCUCGUGAUAUUCUAUCCCUCUCUUGUCUCUAUCUCUCUCUGUUUUUUUUUUCCCUCUCUAUAAACAUUUUGAAGCUACAAUGACAAUCCUGCCAUUAUAAUUCUAAAGUUUAUGCAAUUGUAUUUUUGAUUUUGUAUGUAAAGUUUUUACAACUUUAUCUUUGGUUCAACGUAAGUAUGACAAAAUCAUUAGGCUAAUGGUUGUAACAGAAAAAUAGUAAAAUGAUAAACA